rnacentral:rRNA from 1 species
UACGAGGGGAGCAAGCGUUGUUCGGAUUUACUGGGCGUAAAGGGCGCGUAGGCGGCGUGACAAGUCACUUGUGAAAUCUCCGGGCUUAACCCGGAACGGUCAAGUGAAACUGUCGUGCUAGAGUACAGAAGGGGCAACUGGAAUUCUCGGUGUGGCGGUGAAAUGCGUAGAUAUCGAGAGGAACACCUGCGGCGAAGGCGGGUUGCUGGGCUGAUACUGACGCUGAUGCGCGAAAGCCAGGGGAGCGAACGGG